GACAAACGCUGGCGGCAUGCCUAACACAUGCAAGUCGAACGGACAGAACAGGCUUGCUUUUCGGUUUGGAACUGGAAAGUUGGUUGCUGACUGGUGAGUAACGCGGUGACAACCUACCUUGUACAGGGGAAUACCCUCGAGCAACCUAAGCUAAUACCCCAUAAUAACCUUGCUUUGCAUGCACUCAGUAUGAAAUGCGCCCUUAUCGCUUUCGCUACAAGAUGGGUUCACGUCCGAUUAGCUAGUUGGUGGGGUAAAGGCCUACCAAGGCGACGAUCAGUAGCCGGUCUGAGAGGAUGAACAGUCACAUUGGAACUGAGACACGGCCCAAACUCCUACGGGAGGCAGCAGUGGGGAAUAUUGGGCAAUGGGCGAAAGCCUGACGGAGCAAUGCCGCGUGAGUGAAGAAGGUCUUCGGGUUGUAAAACACUGUACUUAGCGAAGAGAGGGUGUAAGAGUAAAUGACAAUGCUAGGACGGUAGGAAAGGAGGAAGCCCCGGCUAACUAUGUG
rnacentral:rRNA from 1 species